AAUAAGGUGUCUGAUAAAAGAAUUAUCUUGAUAGGGUAAAUUAUGUGAUAUUUAUUUCACCCUUAUUA
rnacentral:tRNA from 1 species